CUAAAAGUGAUGAAAAGAAAAGUAAAAAACAAGGAAAGUCACAGAGAGUCCCGGAGGGUGGAAAGGGAUACGGAAGGUGUUUUUGAAAAUGGUCUUGGAACUGCGUACCGAAUGCUGAAGUUUUGGCACAAGGCUGCGACGGGCGCACCCGUUAUUGUGCCGGGCUGUCGAUAUCUUUAUAUAUCCGCAGCUGACAAGGUCUCUGCUGUGAAGCAGAGGUGAAUUUGAGGUGGUAACACGAAGCUUGCAGCUCUCGUCCUCGAA
rnacentral:ncRNA from 1 species